GACGAACGCUGGCGGCGUGCCUAAUACAUGCAAGUAGAACGCUGAAGCGAGGAGCUUGCUCUUCUUGGAUGAGUUGCGAACGGGUGAGUAACGCGUAGGUAACCUGCCUGGUAGCGGGGGAUAACUAUUGGAAACGAUAGCUAAUACCGCAUAAAAUGGAUUAUCGCAUGAUAAUCCAUUGAAAGGUGCAAAUGCAUCACUACCAGAUGGACCUGCGUUGUAUUAGCUAGUUGGUGGGGUAACGGCUCACCAAGGCGACGAUACAUAGCCGACCUGAGAGGGUGAUCGGCCACACUGGGACUGAGACACGGCCCAGACUCCUACGGGAGGCAGCAGUAGGGAAUCUUCGGCAAUGGACGGAAGUCUGACCGAGCAACGCCGCGUGAGUGAAGAAGGGUGUCGGAUCGUAAAGCUCUGUUGUAAGAGAAGAACGAGUGUGAGAGUGGAAAGUUCACACUGUGACGGUAUCUUACCAGAAAGGGACGGCUAACUACGUG
rnacentral:rRNA from 1 species